AAAGGGAAAAUCCUAGUGACUAAAGAGAAGAAAAAGACUUUUCAUAUCAUAUACCAAAUAACUUCUGGGGCAAGUUCCUUCUCAAAUAUGCCACUUUUCACCGCACAAAAAUUUCCACACAGGAGUCCUUCACAGAGUUGAGUUGUGUUCUUUGUAGAUUUCAGAGUUUUUUUCCCUAACAUUAUGGCACAAGAAUUGGAGUGUGCCCCUGAGCUUGCUGUUGAUGAUUUUUACCUCUCAGUUCUUUCUGAAGAAGAAUACUGUGAUCAACAAGCCAUUCUCCCAGUUUCUGACUCCAAAUAUGCUGAAGAGUUGCAGUUCCAGGAGGCCUUUAUGGCUUCCAUGGUCAGUUUUCAGAUGACCGACAGGAGUGACAUAACUAUUCCAUCAUCCCCUUUAAUGGUUAUCCAAGCAACUGAAGAUCAACAUAAGCCUCAUCUUUUGGACCACUCUGAGGAGUCAAUGAAGAUGUCAAUGGUGAAAAUGGAAUCUGGUGAGUCCCCUCAAACUUUCUGUGAGAUUUGUGCUGAAAGAAAAGAAAUUGAUGAAAUUUUUAAAACUGAGAGUUGUGUUCACUCGUAUUGCCGUGAUUGUAUAAGCAAAUAUGUGGCUACAAAGCUUCAGGAUAAGGUUAUCACAGUGACUUGUCCUGGUUUGAACUGCAAAUCCAUCCUGGAAAUUGAUUUUUUUAGGCCUUUGCUUCCAAAGGGUGUGGUUAAAAUUUGGGAGGAGGCCAUUUGCGAAGAGAUGAUUGAUGUUUCACGGAGGUUUCACUGUCCAUUCAAGGAUUGUUCAGCCAUGUUGGUGAUUGAAAUCGAUGGAGAAGUUAUAACAAGUGCUGAAUGCCCUUUUUGUCACUGAUUGUUCUGUGCACAGUGUGAUGUUCCAUGGCAUUGUGGGAUGGAGUGUGGGGAGUAUCAGAGUCUCAACGCAGAUGAAAGAGGGAGGGAAGAUCUCAUGGUGAGAGAGCUGGCUAAGGAGAAGGAAUGGGCCAGAUGCCCCAAGUGCAAAUACUAUGUUGAAAGGACUGAAGGUUGCCCAAAUAUGAGUUGCAGGUGCAAGAGUUUGAGUUUUACUAUGGAUGUAACACAGAGUGGGAUAGACGCCAUAGCGGUUGCCAGAGACAGUAGCAGAUUAUUUCAAGCCUGCAUGAAAAAUAAAAAUAUAAGUUUAUCUUAUACUGAUUAGCUAUUAUGAAAACACUAGACUUUGCCCUAAUAGUAUGUAAUAUGUGAGUAUAAUCUUAUGUAAUUAUAAGAAUGAAUGAGAAAAAGGCCAUCAAGAGCGUUAAUGUUUUAUCUUUUAGCCCCCUUUUCUUUUGUACAUACAUCUCAUUCUCCUGCUAUCUUCAUUUAUCUCCAUUGAAUCCCUA